AUUUUUAUAGCUUAAUCUUAAAGCGUAACUCUGAAAAAGUUAAUAUAGGGUAACCUUAAAAAUA
rnacentral:tRNA from 1 species